rnacentral:rRNA from 1 species
GACGAACGCUGGCGGCGUGCUUAACACAUGCAAGUCGAACGGAAAGGCCCUGCUUUUGUGGGGUGCUCGAGUGGCGAACGGGUGAGUAACACGUGAGUAACCUGCCCUUGACUUUGGGAUAACUUCAGGAAACUGGGGCUAAUACCGGAUAGGAGCUCCUGCUGCAUGGUGGGGGUUGGAAAGUUUCGGCGGGUGGGGAUGGACUCGCGGGUUAUCAGCUUGUUGGUGGGGUAGUGGCCUACCAAGGCUUUGACGGGUAGCCGGCCUGGGAGGGUGACCGGCCACAUUGGGACUGAGAUACGGCCCAGACUCCUACGGGAGGCAGCAGUGGGGAAUAUUGCCCAAUGGGCGGAAGCCUGAUGCAGAAGCGCCGCGUGCGGGAUGACGGCCUUCGGGUUGUAAACCGCUUUCGCCUGUGACGAAGCGUGAGUGACGGUAAUGGGUAAAGAAGCACCGGCUAACUACGUG